AACGAACGCUGGCGGCAGGCCUAACACAUGCAAGUCGAGCGGACCCUUCGGGGUUAGCGGCGGACGGGUGAGUAACGCGUGGGAAUAUGCCCUUCUCUACGGAAUAGUCCUGGGAAACUGGGGGUAAUACCGUAUACGCCCUUUGGGGGAAAGAUUUAUCGGGGAAGGAUUAGCCCGCGUUGGAUUAGGUAGUUGGUGGGGUAAUGGCCUACCAAGCCGACGAUCCAUAGCUGGUUUGAGAGGAUGAUCCGCCACACUGGGACUGGGACACGGCCCAGACUCCUACGGGAGGCAGCAGUGGGGAAUCUUAGACAAUGGGGGCAACCCUGAUCUAGCCAGGCCGCGUGAGUGAUGAAGGCCUUAGGGUUGUAAAGCUCUGUCAACUGGGAAGAUAAUGACGGUACCAGCAGAAGAAGCCCCGGCUAACUCCGUG
rnacentral:rRNA from 1 species